rnacentral:rRNA from 1 species
GACGAACGCUGGCGGCGUGCUUAACACAUGCAAGUCGAACGGAAAGACCCUGCUUUUGUGGGGUGCUCGAGUGGCGAACGGGUGAGUAACACGUGAGUAACCUGCCCUUGACUUUGGGAUAACUUCAGGAAACUGGGGCUAAUACCGGAUAGGAGCUCCUGCUGCAUGGUGGGGGUUGGAAAGUUUCGGCGGUUGGGGAUGGACUCGCGGCUUAUCAGCUUGUUGGUGGGGUAGUGGCUUACCAAGGCUUUGACGGGUAGCCGGCCUGAGAGGGUGACCGGCCACAUUGGGACUGAGAUACGGCCCAGACUCCUACGGGAGGCAGCAGUGGGGAAUAUUGCACAAUGGGCGGAAGCCUGAUGCAGCAACGCCGCGUGCGGGAUGACGGCCUUCGGGUUGUAAACCGCUUUCGCCUGUGACUAAGCGUGAGUGACGGUAAUGGGUAAAGAAGCACCGGCUAACUACGUG